GGGCAAUGAUGAAACAAAGGCCGGACUUACUGCUGCUACCAGUUUUUUAGUUGGUUUGGUAGUAGACUGAUGAAAACUACAAUAAGUAAGGUGUUUGCUCUGAGCCAC